rnacentral:misc_RNA from 1 species
GAUGAAGAACGCAGCGAAAUGCGAUAAGUAAUGUGAAUUGCAGAAUUCAGUGAAUCAUCGAAUCUCUGAACGCACAUUGCGCCCGCCAGUAUUCUGGCGGGCAUGCCUGUUCGAGCGUCAUUACAACCCUCAGGCCCCCGGGCCUGGCGUUGGGGAUCGGCGGAAGCCCCCUGCGGGCACAACGCCGUCCCCCAAAUACAGUGGCGGUCCCGCCGCAGCUUCCAUUGCGUAGUAGCUAACACCUCGCAACUGGAGAGCGGCGCGGCCACGCCGUAAAACACCCAACUUCUGAAUGUUGACCUCGAAUCAGGUAGGAAUACCCGCUGAACUUAAGCAUAUCAAUAAGCGGAGGA